GACGAACGCUGGCGGCGUGCUUAACACAUGCAAGUCGAACGGAAAGGCCCUGCUUUUGUGGGGUGCUCGAGUGGCGAACGGGUGAGUAACACGUGAGUAACCUGCCCUUGACUUUGGGAUAACUUCAGGAAACUGGGGCUAAUACCGGAUAGGAGCUCCUGCUGCAUGGUGGGGGUUGGAAAGUUUCGGCGGUUGGGGAUGGACUCGCGGCUUAUCAGCUUGUUGGUGGGGUAGUGGCUUACCAAGGCUUUGACGGGUCGCCGGCCUGAGAGGGUGACCGGCCACAUUGGGACUGAGAUACGGCCCAGACUCCUACGGUAGGCAGCAGUGGGGAAUAUUGCACAAUGGGCGGAAGCCUGAUGCAGCAACGCCGCGUGCGGGAUGACGGCCUUCGGGUUGUAAACCGCUUUCGCCUGUGACGAAGCGUGAGUGACGGUAAUGGGUAAAGAAGCACCGGCUAACUACGUG
rnacentral:rRNA from 1 species